rnacentral:rRNA from 1 species
CCGACGGUGAGGGAUGAAAGCUGGGGGAGCAAACCGGAUUAGAUACCCGGGUAGUCCCAGCUGUAAACGAUGCAAACUCGAUGAUGCGUUGGCUUGUUGCUAGCGCAGUGUCGCAGGGAAGCCGUUAAGUUUGCCGCCUGGGAAGUACGUACGCAAGUAUGAAACUUAAAGGAAUUGGCGGGGGAGCACCACAAGGGGUGAAGCCUGCGGUUCAAUUGGAGUCAACGCCAGAAAUCUUACCCGGAGAGACAGCAGAAUGAAGGUCAAGCUGAAGACUUUACCAGACAAGCUGAGAGGUGGUGCAUGGCCGUCGCCAGCUCGUGCCGUGAGAUGUCCUGUUAAGUCAGGUAACGAGCGAGAUCCCUGCCCUUAGUUGCCACUAUUACUCUCAGGAGUAAUAGGGCGAAUUAAGGGGACCGCCGCAGUUAAUGCGGAGGAAGGAAGGGGCCACGGCAGGUCAGUAUGCCCCGAAACUCUGGGGCCACACGCGGGCUGCAAUGGUAACGACAAUUGGUUUCGAAUCCGAAAGGAUGAGGUAAUCCUCAAACGUUACCACAGUUAUGACUGAGGGCUGCAACUCGCCCUCACGAAUAUGGAAUCCCUAGUAACUGCGUGUCAUUAUCGCGCGGUGAAUACGUCCCUGCUCCUUGCACUCACCGCCCGU